rnacentral:rRNA from 1 species
GAUGAACGCUGGCGGCGUGCCUAAUACAUGCAAGUCGAGCGAACGGACGAGAAGCUUGCUUCUCUGAUGUUAGCGGCGGACGGGUGAGUAACACGUGGAUAACCUACCUAUAAGACUGGGAUAACUUCGGGAAACCGGAGCUAAUACCGGAUAAUAUUUUGAACCGCAUGGUUCAAAAGUGAAAGACGGUCUUGCUGUCACUUAUAGAUGGAUCCGCGCUGCAUUAGCUAGUUGGUAAGGUAACGGCUUACCAAGGCAACGAUGCAUAGCCGACCUGAGAGGGUGAUCGGCCACACUGGAACUGAGACACGGUCCAGACUCCUACGGGAGACAGCAGUAGGGAAUCUUCCGCAAUAGGCGAAAGCCUGACGGAGCAACGCCGCGUGAGUGAUGAAGGUCUUCGGAUCGUAAAACUCUGUUAUUAGGGAAGAACAUAUGUGUAAGUAACUGUGCACAUCUUGACGGUACCUAAUCAGAAAGCCACGGCUAACUACGUG